rnacentral:pre_miRNA from 1 species
AUUCUACUCCCUCCGUUCCACAAUACAUGCCUUCUAUUUGUCAAAAUAUAGAUGUAUCUAGACAUGUUUUAGUAUAUAGGUACAUCCAUUUUUGGACAAAUGGAAGUCAAGUAUUUUGGAACGGAGGUAGUACACA